rnacentral:lncRNA from 1 species
GAGCGGCCUAAAUUAACCAGUGAUUAAUCAGUGAUUAUAAAAUACAAAUUGAAAUAAUAUUUUAAGUGUUUCUUGUUUUGCUGUCCAGCAAUAUUCUUGUGCCUGUUUUAGUAGCUAUGUAUGUCUAUUUUUUGUGAUAUAACAGAGUGUUUGCUGGUGCCUAUGUAAAACCUGGUUGGCUAAAACAACAUUGCAACAGAGCUGAUGCAAGUUCGUUUCAAACUAAAUAAGCCUGGCCUUUUUAAUGCAAAUGGUUUACAUUCUUUAUUUUCUUUUUGGAUCCAGCUAACGACCGAGAAUUUCUAAUCGAUUUAAUUCCUGGAAAAAUAAAACAAAUGUUUUGUAGGUGUUUGAAAUUGGGUGUAAAAUUGCUUGUAUAUUUGCCAUUCAUGCGUGCAGUACUCGGAAAUUUCAGGCUAACGUCGUAUAGUCAACAUUUCGUAGAUAUAACAAAGGUAUUUUCAUAGAUUAUUUUCUCAAAAAUAUCUUUGCUAUAUGUUCUCGAAAGGCAAUAUUUGAAAACGCUCUAUCUUGGCAUAAGCUAAUAAUAUGCAUAUGAGAAGAACGUUUUCAACAAAAAUAUUUUUUUUUUUAAUAAAAUAAAAUAACAUAAAGGAAAAUGUACUUAUUUUUUCCAAGGUAGAUAAUUAUUGUUCAAGUUUGUUACAACUUAGUUAAAAGAUUGAAGCAGGACAUAUUUGAACGUGUAACAAAAUAAAUAUGUUUAUGUAUGUGACACAGACCAGUAUUGAGUUCUGUAUUUGUAAAAAAUCUAAUUGAACUAUAACCAAUAAUUUGCAACGUGGAUGAACAUUGAUGAUUGCAAGAAUCAUGAAGCAAGCGAUAUGGCAAAACCAAAACGUCAGUAAAUACUUUCACCUAAUCACUAUCUGGAACACAAUCUUGAAAUAGAGACAGGAUCUACCUUGUGAUACUGCUCGGAAAAUGUCGUCGUGGAAAAUGACGUUGAAAUUCAGCCACCAUUUUGCGACGUAGUGGAGCACUGAUGAAGGCAAAAUUCUGUACGCUCCAGUCGAGGAUUAAUCCAGUUUGAAAGACUAAAUGUGAGUUAACUGCUGUAUUCGUUGGAGAAAUAAAAACACCACAGGCAUCAGUUUUGGUUCCUGAUUUACAAGUUCAACCAAGCAAAUGCAAAUAUUUACUUUAUGGAAAGAGUUAUAAAAGGUUUAUAGCGGUGUAACAGUUGUGAUUAAUGGCACUAACUAUAGAUCAUUUGUGCAGGUUUGAAAUACUGAAAAUAAAACUUUUGUUCCCACAGUGUCAAACGUUACCAUAUCAGGGUGCUUCGAACGUUUGGAAAGACAUCCUUGCAACAAAACCGUUUAGGAAUCCGUAGGGAUAGUUAACUCUUCUUGAACUUGUGGGAGCUUUUAAAAAUAUAUUGGAUGAUCGGCUGAGAUGAAAACAAUCAUUUAUGACUAUGUGCACACAAGUGUGGUUCAAUUGCGGUGUUGUUUGUACACAUGAAAAAAAGAAAUUUGUCAACGCAAACCCGCUAUCAGACAAACUAAAAUUAAGAUUCUGCAAAAAAUCUACGAAAAGAGUAGUUAUGGUCCACAAGGUUGUACAGGGACGUUGUCGGAAUGUUGGUAGAUAAUUAACAUUAUGAACAGAUUGAAUCUUGUUCUUCCAAGACAUAGGCUUAUAUUUUAGAAACAUGUCCUAGUAAUAUAUCGUUUAUGUAUUUUCUAGUAUAAAUGAUUAAGAUUGUACUCAGUCAGAGCUGCAAAACAAUAUAAUAAGAAAGAAAUUGUGAGCAUUAUCGAAAACAAGUCAGAUAAUUUUUCAUUCGUGUGCAAUUGACGUGUGUUCCAAUGCGGGCAUCAUAUGCAUACCGAUCAAUUUACCUUAUGCAUAAUGAUGUCACAAGGCUUGAUGCCCGCGAGGAAUGCUGGUCUUAGUAGUCAUCGCCCUGGAAAAUUAAAAAUGGCCACUAUCGAAAUUUUGCCUGCUAAUGACUACUAUUAAAGACCAGCAUUCCUCACAGGCAUCAAGCCUUGAGACGUCAUUAUGGAUAAGGUCUGCUGAUAUAGAGUAAAGCCCCACAUAAAAGAACCAGUAGUAUGUUAAGAACCACUAGCCUAAAAUUUGGGCAAUUAAGCACUCAAAAUACAAGUUUUAAACAUUUUUUAACAGUUUAGAUAUAUGCAACGAGAACCAUAUUGGCGUCAUAGCAAUAGUUUUAUGCAACAACAGUCCUUAUUUAAUGUGUAAAAUAGAAAAAAGUAUAGUGUGAAGUAAGUUAUAUAAGAACCACUUCAGCCUGAAGUCAAAAUUCACUGGUUCAUUUAUGCAGGGCUUUACUGUACUGUAUAUCAUAUUCCCAUAUUAAAUAACAAUAUUAGUAAUCAUGUUACUGUAAUAUAAAACUAUUUUUAUUGGCAAUUUUCUAAUUGACAUACAACCUAUAUUGUAAAAUUUAAUAUACUAUACCUUGUUGGCUUAAUCUAUUGACAGAUUCAGCAUACAACUUUAUUAUUGCCAACGGCAACGUCAACGAUUGCCCAGCUAGCGAGGCCAUGCACAGUUCGCCAGCUAGCGAGGCCAUGCACAAACUGGGGAAAAAAAUAUCCUGCCCCAGUAUUUGGUG